UGUCUAGAGAAGCACGAGUAAAACUGAUCGUGGGAUACACACACAUUAUUCCAUCAUGCACUUGAUAUCAAAGAAAGACGUAUUCUACUCUCGAUGAACGUACAAUAUCUAUUUUCUACUCUAAGCUUGGUUUGGAUUACCUUUGGGAUAGUGUACAAGAUAUUAUCAUCGUCCUGAAAACGAAAUCCUGGCCGCUUGGGUGAUAACCUUGUAUUGCACAUCUGAACCAACGAUGCUACUUGGUUUAAUAUCAACGCUUGUUUGGACACCAAUCAAAUACCUUAGUCUUUUACACUUAAAUAUUGUCUCAUACUUCUUUUUUUAUGCCCAUACAGCAUUUAUAAAUUGUAUAUGUUUCCCGGCGGAGGUAAAUAUUGUCCUUUUCUUGAUUUGGAUCUUAAAAGUAUAUGCAUACAUAAUAAUGACUCUUAUUUAUAUAAUAUAUAAAAUGAUGGCUUGUAUAUGUUUAAUUUAUAUAUAUAUAAUAUAUAAAAUGAUGGCUUGUAUAUGUUUAAUUUCUAUAUAUAUAAUCCGGCAAUGUUUAUCCAUGCAAAUAUGGAGAAUACACCGUUCAAAUUGAUGUUGAUGUGUACUGUAUCUUUGGAAACGAAAUAAUAAGCUAUUGCGGAUCUUAGCAUCUCGAAAGUUGCCACUUGUAAAUAGAAAUACUUGAA
rnacentral:lncRNA from 1 species